CCUGAGCUCAAAUGAUCUGCCUGCUUCAGCCUCCCAGAGAGCUAGGAUUACAGGUGUGAGCCACUGCACCCGCCCGAGGACCUUUGGGACUACUAAUGCAAUGUGUCCAUUUGGGGCCCCAUUGCGAAAGAAAAUUGCUUAUUUCAGAGGGGUAUUUUCACCAAUGAUUAAGGAAAUCCCUGGGGUGGGGGGAAUGUUUCUAUCUGAAUCAGAGAGAAAACACUAGAUUUUCAUUUAGUCUUCAUAAUAAUCUUGUGAAGUUGCUACUAAUAUCCUUAUUUUUCCAAAUUAGAAAACCAAAGCAUAAUGAGGCUAGGUGCCUGGUUCAAGAUCAUACAGCUAAAAUUAUUGGACCUGCAAAUCAAGCUCAGGUUGGCAAAGAUCAAGGUUAAAGAAAUUCUUUUUGGAAGGGUGUGGAGAAUGAGGCACUUUUAAACAUUGCUGGUAGGUAUAUGCAUUAGUAUAACUUUUACUGGGGACAACUUGGCAAUAAUCUAUCAAAUUUAUAAAUGUCCAUACCUUUUGACUAAGUAAUUGCACUUCUAGAAAUCUAUACUACAGAUAUAUUUGCACAUUUGCAAAAUAACAUAUGUGCAAGGUUAUGUACUAUGGCAUUGCUUGAAAUACAAUAGAUUGGAAACAACUUAAGUGCUCACCAAUGGAGAACUGAUUAAAUAAAGCUAUAUCUAUUUUAUAUCACCCCAAGAAUGAGGGAACUGUCUACUGAUAGUAAUGAUUUCUAAGAUAUAUUAAGUGAAAUAAGACAGAUCCAGGAAAUAAGUUUGAUAUGCUUUCAUUUAUGGAAAAAUUCCAUAUGCAUAUGCUUUUGUAGGCAUAGACUAUUUCUGGAAGAAUAUACAACAGAUAAUAGUUACCCCUACUAAAGGGUACAAUAUGACUAGGGCUGGGGGGAGGGUGGUUUAGAACAAAAGUGGAGUGAGGACUUUAAUUCUUUUAUAUUUUUAAUCAUAUGAAUGUAUUCGGUAUUCAAGAAAAAUAAGUUGAAUUAAAAUUUAAAAUCCAAAAUAAAGGAAUAAUGGAAAUCAUCCAGGGGGAGGAAGGAGGAGGGGAUGGGCAGAAACCUACCUAACCAGUAAAAUGAAUACUAUCUGGGUGACAGGAAACUCCCAUAACCAUGACACAGCAUUAUAAAAGCAAGUCAUAUAACCAAAAUUAUGUGUACCCUGUAAUACUUUGAAAUGAAAAUAAAUAAAUAAAACACAUGCCGUUUAAGGUACCUUAUGA